GGACAGGUGGCUGAGUGGCUUAAGGCAGUAGCCCGCAAGGGCUGCUAUACGACGCAAGUCGUAUCGGAGGUUCGAAUCCUUCCCCUGUCCGCCA
rnacentral:tRNA from 1 species